UACGUAGGGUGCAAGCGUUGUCCGGAAUUAUUGGGCGUAAAGGGUGCGUAGGCGGCCAACUAAGUCAGACGUGAAAUCCCUCGGCUUAACCGGGGAACUGCGUCUGAUACUGGAUGGCUAGAGGUUGGGAGAGGGAUGCGGAAUUCCAGGUGUAGCGGUGAAAUGCGUAGAUAUCUGGAGGAACACCGGUGGCGAAGGCGGCAUCCUGGACCAAUUCUGACGCUGAGGAGCGAAAGCCAGGGGAGCAAACGGG
rnacentral:rRNA from 1 species